CACAAACCCAAUGCAUCAUGCACUGGAUUUAGAAUCCGAUAACGAAGGAAGAAGGCGAGAAUAACGAGCCGGGCCACAAUAACCAUCCGCAGGGUCUGCAGACUGGAAAACCACAUUCAUUGCAAGCAACAAACAGAUCACCAUCCACAGUAAGCCCCACUUCAUCACCACAGAUCUCGCAAACUUGACCGUCCAAGUUCUUCAACGGCUUUGGCUGAAGAAGAAAAAACAGAACGGAACAAAACAAAACAAAACAAAACAAAACAAAAACAACCAGAUCAGCCACAAACGCACAAACCAAAACUUUCACACACUGACUUUCUGAGUAAGUUAACAA